rnacentral:tRNA from 1 species
GGCGAUUAGCCCAGCUGGUUCAGAGCAUCCCGAUUCACCGGGAGGGUCAUAGGUUCGAAUCCUAUAUCGCCCU